AAUCACACAUACAUAUACAUAAAUUAAUUAGGUUCAAGUCUGUAUACAUAGGAACAACGGUUAAAUUUUCUAGCUUGAAAACGUGGGUUGUUACAGUUCUUUUCUAUUUUUAGGUUCUUUUCCCCUCUUUGUGUGCUUAAUUAUGAUUCUUUUGGCUUUAAUUUAAGCUUAUUCAGUGGAACUAUUGUUUCUUUGUGCGAACUGCGGGUGAAAAAAAUUGUGACUCAUUCUUUAUUUUCUUUGUUUCUCUUCCAAAUCAUAAGGCUUAUUUUACUUGUAUUUGCAAAUUUAUUGUUUGAAUGUCCAAAUAAUUUAGGGGAAAAUAAACUGUGAGGUUAUAUGUAGUAUUGGCUUAAAGCACGCAGGUGUUCGUCUUUGUGCUAGCUUACCCACAAAAGGUCUUUUAUGCCAAUUAUAUCAUAGUGAAGUAGCUUAAUUUGUUAGGGUUGCUCCACAUAAAACCAUGAAAAAAGCACAUACUUUUUGUGCAAUUCUUAUCUUUGCGUAGCUCAGCAACAAUCAAGAAAACUAAUUCAAUUUAAAGUGAACAACUCUUCAAAAUCUGUAAGUUGUUCGUUUCUUAGUGCCAAUCCUAUAUAGAUUUCUUCAAUUUUGGUUCAGAAUAAUGAUGUAUUAUGUUUUAUGUAAUUUGGGCUUGAGGGAUGUUUGAGUUAAAUCUAAAGUAAUUCAAUGUCAAGUUUGUUGUUUUGUGUGGCUCUUUUCAUUGGCUCUCAAUUUUGUUGAUUUUCUAUGUGCGAUUGGAAAAACUGAGUGUCGAAAUUUUCUUUGGGUCAUAUUUAAAAAUUGAUGGUGGUACUUCUCUGUGUGAUUUGGAAAUUUAUUGUUUGGGUCAACUUAUGCCCACUAGGUGUUUGUGGAAAUUCUCCAACUAAGCAGUCUCUUCCAACCACAAUUUUGUUGUCAUAUAUCAGUUGAGAAUAAUUCGUAUUUUAGUUAUGCUUUUUGCCUUUCUUCAAAUUAUACUUGCUUGUUUUUCUGUAUGGAUAUAUUUUCAUUUCUUUGGAGCACCUAUGUCUAUUUACUAGAGUGGAAGUCCAUUUGGCACUAGGAUGAUGUUAUAUGUAAAUUGUGGCUAAAAAACUUGAGUAAACAUUAAUGAACUAUCAUUAAUGUUAUUGCAAAUGUAAAAUCUUGUCGUACAAUAAUCAAUUGAAUUCAUAAUCUAGAAAAAUUCAAUUGCAUAUAUGACAUUUUCUGUAUUUACUCUAUUUUCUUCCAAUGCUCUUCGUGUGUUUUAGAGAAAUUAAACGAGAUCAAUGAUAGCGUCUAUGGUCUCAACAGCUCAAAGUUAUGCUUAUCUAAUAGCUCUUACAUAAGAGAUUGAAAAGAAGCCUCAACGUGGUCCAUCCAUUGACUUCACCCUCGCAGAGGUGUAACUUAUUGCAAAAGCUUUUUGCUGAUGUAGCUUUGGAAGUAGACAAUCAAGCUAAAGGAGGUUUCUUACUCGAAGAUGUUUCAACUGAAAUGGAUGCAGCUUAUGAAACACCUAAUUUAUCAACACAUGCUGAUGGAUAAUGAUCAAGCGAGAAAUUAACAUUCAAAUCUAGAACAUAUAAAACACAACAAUUGUGCUGAGAUCAUCAGUUUGAGGAUAGUAAGUUUUGCUUCCUUCGUGAUCAGGUAUUGAGUGUUGUAUCCGAGAGGAACACCAUAGAUUUUAAGGGUGUUUUGAGAUUUGAUAAUCACAUUUGUGUUCCGAGGAUCGAUGACUUGAUUCAGUUGAUUCUUCAUGCUUUUACUUCACCAGUGGAUUGACGUCGUCGAAAAGUUGAUAAUCCUUAUUUGCUAGAAGAACUUGGCUUAUCAUUAGCUUGUAGUUUUUGUUAGGUGAAUAAUUUAAUGAAGUGUGAUCGCGCAACAACGUUUUGGGAAAGAAAUGGAUGGUGUAGAUAGGAAAAGGUCACUUCUGUUUCUGUUUUGAUUUCUGCCAUAACUUUUCCAAUACGUUUUAUAGAUAAUAUAUGUCACUUUUUUGCUUUUCAUUCAGAAGCAGUGCAUGAUGAAUUUAAGUCAAACUUAAACACAGUUGAUCAA